AUUGAACGCUGGCGGCAGGCCUAACACAUGCAAGUCGAGCGAGCGGCGGACGGGUGAGUAAUGUCUGGGAAACCGCCUGAUGGAGGGGGAUAACUACUGGAAACGGUUGCUAAUACCGCAUACCAUCAGAUGUGCCCAGCUGGGAUUAGCUAGUAGGUGGGGUAACGGCUCCCCUAGGCGACGAUCCCUAGCUGGGCUGAGAGGAUGACCAGCCACACUGGAACUGAGACACGGUCCAGACUCCUACGGGAGGCAGCAGUGGGGAAUAUUGCACAAUGUGCGCAAGCCUGAUGCAGCCAUGCCGCGUGUGUGAAGAAGGCCUUCGGGUUGUAAAGCACUUUCGGCGGGGAGGCGGUACCCGCAGAAGAAGCACCGGCUAACUACGUGCCAGCAGCCGCGGUAAUAC
rnacentral:rRNA from 1 species